AUGCUCGCUUCGGCAGCACAUAUACUAAUAUUGGAACUGUACAGAGAAGAUUAGCACGGCCUCCUUUGCAAGGAUGACAUGCAUAUUCAUGAAACGUUCCAUAAAAUA